rnacentral:rRNA from 1 species
UACGAAGGGGGCUAGCGUUGCUCGGAAUCACUGGGCGUAAAGCGCACGUAGGCGGCUUUUUAAGUCAGGGGUGAAAUCCUGGAGCUCAACUCCAGAACUGCCUUUGAUACUGGCGAUCUCGAGUCCGGGAGAGGUGAGUGGAACUGCGAGUGUAGAGGUGAAAUUCGUAGAUAUUCGCAAGAACACCAGUGGCGAAGGCGGCUCACUGGCCCGGAACUGACGCUGAGGUGCGAAAGCGUGGGGAGCAAACAGG